AUGACGGCCUUCGGGUUGUAAACUGCUUUUGAGAGGGAGUAGCAAGGAGAGUACCUCUCGAAUAAGUCACGGCUAACUACGUGCCAGCAGCCGCGGUAAUACGUAGGUGGCAAACGUUAUCCGGAAUUACUGGGCGUAAAGGGUCUGUAGGCGGUCUGAAAGGUCUGGCGUGACAAUUCUCGGCUUAACUGAGAGAGUGCGUUGGAAACCGGCAGACUGGAAUCACGUCGAGGUCGGUGGAAUUCCCGGUGUAGUGGUGGAAUGCGUAGAGAUCGGGAGGAACCCCUAAAGCGAAGGCAGCCGGCUAGACGAUGAUUGACGCUGAGGGACGAUAGCGUGGGGAGCGAACAGGAUUAGAUACCCUGGUAGUCCACGCCGUAAACGAUGUGUGCUCGGUGUGUGUGGGUAAAACCAUGCGCGCCUCAGUUAACACGGUAAGCACACCGCCUGGGAAGUACGGCCGCAAGGCUA
rnacentral:rRNA from 1 species